rnacentral:rRNA from 1 species
UGGGGAAUAUUGGACAAUGGGCGAAAGCCUGAUCCAGCCAUGCCGCGUGUGUGAAGAAGGUCUUCGGAUUGUAAAGCACUUUAAGUUGUGAGGAAGGGCAGUAAGCGAAUACCUUGCUGUUUUUACGUUACCGACAGAAUAAGCACCGGCUAACUCUGUGCCAGCAGCCGCGGUAAUACAGAGGGUGCAAGCGUUAAUCGGAAUUACUGGGCGUAAAGCGCGCGUAGGUGGUUCGUUAAGUUGAAUGUGAAAGCCCCGGGCUCAACCUGGGAACUGCAUCCAAAACUGGCGAGCUAGAGUAGGGCAGAGGGUGGUGGAAUUUCCUGUGUAGCGGUGAAAUGCGUAGAUAUAGGAAGGAACACCAGUGGCGAAGGCGACCACCUGGGCUCAUACUGACACUGAGGUGCGAAAGCGUGGGGAGCAAACAGG